CCUACGGGAGGCAGCAGUGGGGAAUCUUGCGCAAUGGGCGAAAGCCUGACGCAGCCAUGCCGCGUGAAUGAUGAAGGUCUUAGGAUUGUAAAAUUCUUUCACCGGGGACGAUAAUGACGGUACCCGGAGAAGAGGCCCCGGCUAACUUCGUGCCAGCAGCCGCGGUAAUACGAAGGGGGCUAGCGUUGCUCGGAAUUACUGGGCGUAAAGGGAGCGUAGGCGGAUAGUUUAGUCAGAGGUGAAAGCCCAGGGCUCAACCUUGGAAUUGCCUUUGAUACUGGCUAUCUUGAGUACGGAAGAGGUAUGUGGAACUCCGAGUGUAGAGGUGAAAUUCGUAGAUAUUCGGAAGAACACCAGUGGCGAAGGCGACAUACUGGUCCGUUACUGACGCUGAGGCUCGAAAGCGUGGGGAGCAAACAGGAUUAGAUACCCUGGUAGUCCACGCUGUAAACGAUGAGUGCUAGUUGUCGGCAUGCAUGCAUGUCGGUGACGCAGCUAACGCAUUAAGCACUCCGCCUGGGGAGUACGGUCGCAAGNUUAAAACUUAAGAGUAUGCGNGNGAGAGCGACGACGACGACGAGGAGGAGGAG
rnacentral:rRNA from 1 species